rnacentral:lncRNA from 1 species
GGUCGUUCACCUUCCUCGGGGGCUGCGCGCUCAGGAACCACAUGAUUUCCUGGGAGGUCCCACUCACUCUUGGCAAAAAAAACCAGAAACACAAACCAAAAACGAAACUGCUUGAUUUUUUGGGGGCUGAAGGGCGAGCUGCCUCCCAGCACCAUGGGGAUUCUCCUCAGGCAGGACAGCGGAGAAGGGAUGGAGGGCUACCACCCCCAGUGCCCCCACCCCGCCAAGAGAGCCUGGGUGACGUACGUGGCCGUGGUUCUUGGGGUGGCCGUGGUGGCACUGGUGGCAGCCCUUGUCACCGUCCUCUACCAGAGAGCCGAGGGCUCCGCCAUGGCGAGGAACAGCUCGGAAGUGCUGGUGCAGCUGGAGAAGGCACUGGAUGUCACCAACCAGUCCCUCGUCGAUGCCCGCGGGCGGUGGGAAGGGUGCAGGAAGCAGCUGGGUGCGCUGGAGGGAAAGGCCUUGGAACUGGAGUGGGCACUGGCCAAUGUCACCGAGCUGCAAGAGGAGAACAGGGCGCUCAAGGCGGAGGUGGCCCAGCAGCAGGAGCAACUGAGAGACCUGCAGAGCAAAUGGGAGAAGCUCCAGCUGCAGAACCAGAUCCUGGAGAACCAGCUCUGGGACAUGAGGAGCCAGCACUCGAAUGGGAACAGUCUCCAGGCCACGUCCCUCAGCCUCCUGGCUCUCCUCCUCCUCCUCCUCCCUGGGAUGCUCCUCCUGUGAGGGAGGGCAAGAACAUGGGCCCCACUGAUUCCUGACCCCCGAUGUGGGGUGAGGAGGGACCAUCCCCAUCCAGCCCGGUGGGGUCUGGGGGUGGCAGCGGGUUCAGUGCCACCCGUGGGAGCCCAGUGCCCGCUCAGCCCUGCCCUGUGACUGCCCACACUGUCCUGUACCCCCCCUGCACCUUCUCUCUGCUCACCAAACUGCCCCCCUUCACCCUGGGGACACCCCAGGGAUGUGAUUUCCCUCCAGCCACCAAGCACUGGCUCUUCCUAGGGUGAGGGAGGGGACAAGUGGACGGGCUGGAGGGGACAGAGACGUGUCAGGGCUGCUCUGAGUCGAGGGGACCACAAGCUCUACCCCAUUAGGUCAUUUUUUCAUUUUUACCCCAUUUCCAAUAAAACCUUUGUGAAACCCCA